CAGAGCCCUUGGCCAAUGAAAUGCCUUGGUUGAGAGAAGGUUCCAGACCACUACCAUAAAUGACCGCCGCUCAGAUUCAGUUGAGUUAUAAAUGGAGCUGCUGAAGAACAGGCUUGAUUUGGUCUUCAUGGGAGUAGUGGCUGUGCAGUGGAUGGUCUCCUUCUUAGACUGGGACACCACUAAGGGGAGCCAUUCAAGAUUGAGGCCUUCUGUUGUAUUGGAAUAAAUUAAAACAAUCAAGCUUUACUAUUUUGUGGAGCUGUUGCUUCUGAUCAGAAACUGAAAUCCUGCUUCAUGCUCCUCCAGUGUGGAAAUCUGUCAGGUUGGAUACGAGGUGCUAGUUGCUUUGUUCAGUGACCAAACAGCGCUCACGGGCACAGCUGGAAAUGCGCCUUUGAUUUUUCACCAAGCUAGAGCUCCCGUGACCCCUGUUACUGUAAUACCCAAGAACAUCACCUCUGUUCAUGCACUGAUCCUCACAAGAUCUAAAGGAAGAUCUUUCUCACUUUUUCCUGUUACAGACAUGGAACUGAGACACGGCAGGGUCAAAUGACUUGCCCAAAGGUGUCCUUCGAAAAGGGGUCCCAGUGCUGCACACACACGACUUGUCUUUGGAUGGCAUUUAAAAUUUAGCCUUGUGAAUGUAGAAACGAGCUUAAAGAAAGCACAAAACAUCGACAGCUAUGCAGAUGAUGUGGCACAAACCGCAACGUUUUGCUCAAACCAAGAGACUCAUGUGAGAAAGGAUUUUGAGUUUCACCCCUAGGGAACUGAAGUCAGGACAAAUGUGUGAAGUCAUAGAAAAUCCAAUGGCGAGAACGUGGACUUGAGAAAACCAGCCUCACUUUUCUCCCAAAAGAUGAAUCCAUAAAGUAGAUCUGGCCACGGCAGAAGGAACAUGUGACGUGGGAGAAGAAGAGGCAAAAUGUGUCAGGGGAGAAUCCUGACGGAUUCAGCCCAGGACAAGAAUGUGCAAAUUGAUGCAAAAUUAAAUGCAACUGAACAAGAUAACACAUACCCCAGCAGUGAGAACAAUGCACAGCAACUCACAAAAAAGAUGAAGUUUAAAUCCAAGGUGGGUCUGAGGAUGUCUAAGCAUUUACCAGUGACUAUAUUUCGGCAGGAGUAUGUUUUCCCCAAAAGGGGGUAAGAAAAGUGUGGCAGAAAUGAAACGAGUAACUGAAAUGCAAGGGUCAGUUACAGAGCUAAACAGAAGAUGUACAACCCACCUCUCCUACAGAAAAACAAUAGUAGGUACUGAAUCAUAACAUAGUUUGUGUGCUACUGAAAAGUCACACUGCAUUUCACUUGGGAUAUUGUAUUUUUUUCUUAUCUUGGCCUGCUCUGCUGGCAGAGGGAUUUUCUAGAGUUGCUGGUUAACCAUCUCCAAAGUAGCUUAAUUUCAGCUGCAGGGGAAACCAAACUCUAAAAUAGCCUCAUUCCUGAAAUCUUUGGAGAUGUGGCGAUGUCCUCUGGUUGUAAGGAAAGGGACUACAACUCAGACCCUGGUACAAAUGUAUAAAGGGAUUCAAUAUUUAAUCAAACAUUAUCUUCCUUGUGGUGUGACUGAGCUCUUUCAGGCUGAACAUCCUUGAUUUUUAUUACACUAGUCUCCAGCAAGUGACAACACAGAACGUUGCCCUGGCCCAGGCUGGCCCAUCACCUGCCUUCACCAUGGUGGCACCAGCUGCCCUGCCGCUGACAAGAGAACGUUUUAGGAGCUAAAAACUUUACUUUUACAUGACAAAUCCAUCUCUCUGAAUUGUUCAGAUCGCUCCAACAUGUCUCUCCGGCACCAGGAAACUACUGAUGCUGUCCCUGUGCUGCCGAGGUGAGGAACCUGUGGUGCUGCGCCAGGGGCACAAAGGCACAGGCUGCCCCACACCACCCUUGGAAGCAAACAGACAUUUCUGGUACUUAGAAAAACAGCAUAGCGGUGAAAAAAACAAUCGUGUUUGGGGCUGUUAUUUUCUACAGAAAACAGGUGGCCUGAUCCUGCACCCAUGGCUGAGCUCAGCACAGGGAGUAAGGGUGGAGGUUUGAGCUCAUGGAGGUGCUGAGGAUUUGACUCUCAGACCCACCUCUGCAAAGGGUCAGGACAAUCUCACAUAGGGCACAACUCUUAGUUUUGUUCUGGUUUGUGGUGGCUUUUUGGGUUUUUGUUUGUGUGUGUGUGAAAUUUUUUGUUGUUUGUGGGUUUGUUGUUGUAUUGUUGUUUGAAUGUGUGGGUGUGUUUUAACAAAUAAAAGAACCCAGCAUUGA